rnacentral:rRNA from 1 species
AAAAAAUGAAAGUGCUUAACUGCAUUUUUUCUUACACAUGUGUUUUUCUUUUUUUGAAAACUUUGCUUUGGUAGGCCUUCUAUAUGGGGCCUGCCAGAGAUUAAACUCAACCAAAUUUUAUUUAAUGUCAACCGAUUAUUUAAUAGUCAAAACUUUCAACAACGGAUCUCUUGGUUCUCGCAUCGAUGAAGAACGCAGCGAAAUGCGAUAAGUAAUAUGAAUUGCAGAUAUUCGUGAAUCAUCGAAUCUUUGAACGCACAUUGCGCCCUUUGGUAUUCCAAAGGGCAUGCCUGUUUGAGCGUCAUUUCUCCCUCAAACCCUCGGGUUUGGUGUUGAGCGAUACGCUGGGUUUGCUUGAAAGAAAGGCGGAGUAUAAACUAAUGGAUAGGUUUUUUCCACUCAUUGGUACAAACUCCAAAACUUCUUCCAAAUUCGACCUCAAAUCAGGUAGGACUACCCGCUGAACUUAAGCAUAUCAAAGCCCGGAGGAA